rnacentral:rRNA from 1 species
UGCCAGCAGCCGCGGUAAUACGGAGGGUGCGAGCGUUAAUCGGAAUUACUGGGCGUAAAGCGCGCGUAGGCGGUUCGGUAAGUCAGAUGUGAAGGCCCCGGGCUUAACCUGGGAAUUGCAUUUGAAACUGCCGGGCUAGAGUGUAGUAGAGGGAGGUGGAAUUCCGCAUGUAGCGGUGAAAUGCGUAGAGAUGCGGAGGAAUACCAGUGGCGAAGGCGGCCUCCUGGACUAACACUGACGCUGAGGUGCGAAAGCGUGGGGAGCAAACAGGAUUAGAUA